rnacentral:sRNA from 1 species
GCCAGGUGUGGUGGUGCAUGCCUGUAAUCCCAGCGGCUCAGGAGGCUGAGGCAGGAGUAUCGAGAGUUCAAAGCCAGACUCAGCAAAAGCGAGGCACUAAGCAACUCAGUGAGACCCUGUCUCUA